AUUGAACGCUGGCGGCAUGCCUUACACAUGCAAGUCGAACGGCAGCACGGGAGCAAUCCUGGUGGCGAGUGGCGAACGGGUGAGCAAUAUAUCGGAACGUGCCCAGUCGUGGGGGAUAACGUAGCGAAAGCUACGCUAAUACCGCAUACGAUCUAUGGAUGAAAGCGGGGGAUCGCAAGACCUCGCGCGAUUGGAGCGGCCGAUAUCAGAUUAGGUAGUUGGUGAGGUAAAGGCUCACCAAGCCGACGAUCUGUAGCUGGUCUGAGAGGACGACCAGCCACACUGGGGCUGAGACACGGCCCAGACUCCUACGGGAGGCAGCAGUGGGGAAUUUUGGACAAUGGGCGCAAGCCUGAUCCAGCAAUGCCGCGUGCAGGAUGAAGGCCU
rnacentral:rRNA from 1 species